CACGUAGGGUGCGAGCGUUGUCCGGAAUUAUUGGCGUAAAGAGCUCGUAGGCGGUGUGUCGCGUCGGCCGUGAAAACCUGCAGCUUAACUGUGGCUUGCGGUCGAUACGGGCAUCACUGGAGUUCGGCAGGGGAGACUGGAAUUCCUGGUGUAGCGGUGAAAUGCGCAGAUAUCAGGAGGAACACCGGUGGCGAAGGCGGGUCUCUGGGCCGAACUGACGCUGAGGAGCGAAAGCGUGGGGAGCGAACAGG
rnacentral:rRNA from 1 species